UAUGGUGGCAUCCACAUUCAUGAUGAUAAACUAAAUCAAAUUCGUAGUGAAGUUAGUGCUGAAUUGCGCGUAUGUAUAUUCAGGUUUAGUAUGUGUUACAGUUGUCAAGUCAUUCAUGAUGAUGAACUGAAUCAAAUUCGUAGUGAAGUUAGUGCUUAAUCGCAUGUGUGUAUAUUCAGGUUCAGUACGUGUUAUAGUUGUGAAGUCAUGUGUAAGCUCGUGAGCAGUUUGAUUUAGUAAGACAGGAAAAUUACUUGAAAGAAAUAGGUACAGCCACUGUGAUAAAUAUCAGUAGCAUUCACUAUAUAUGUAUGUAGAACAUACCAUAGUGAUGAUUUUGUAUUGCUCGGGACAAGAUUUGCAUGCACCGAUCAUCGAUUCAGUCUUUAAGGGUUACAGGAAAAUGACAUAUUUCAGCCAGUAAUAGUGCAAUCAUAUAUUUGGAGAAAGAAAGCGCGUUAACCACUUAGUAUUAGAGUAAGAUGCUACAUGUAGAAGUACCAUCUAAAAAGGACAGCAGUUAGCUCGUCAGUUUGCUAGUGGCAAAAUUUCAGAGAUGACUUCAUUUUUCCAAAAAAAUUGCUACACAUUUGGAUGACCUAAUGAUUUUAUUUCUUUGCAUUAGCUCAUUCAGGUUGCGGGGUCUGAGAUAUUACGCAUUCAGGUUGCAGAAUCUGAAACAGAUUGAUUUGUUCAUCACACCAAACAAGCAACUGAGACGGCAAGGCGUUUGGAUGAAGCUCUCUGCUUGAUAUGGUUAACUGGAUGGUUUAGUGAUCUGCUGUGGAGGGCUUGCACCCGCCGCCUCUUCUUCCUCUCUCUGCUUCCUUGCCCACCCCUCGUGGCACACACGAGCGGCGGCGGCAGCGGAUCUGCGAGAAACAUGGGAAGGCAGGACGUGGGACGGAGCAGAUUGGCGGCGGGAAGCUCCGGAAGGAGCACGAGGCAGAGCAGAUUCGUGCGACAUCACGUCGUGGAAGGAGGCGGGACGACUCGCCUCCUCGCCAUAAUCGCAGCUCCCGUCCGUCCUCUCCACGUCUCCGUCGGUUCCCCCAAUUUUGAGCCACCAAGGCCAUGGACCGGGACCUGUGUGUUCAUUUGAAGACAAGAAAGUGAAAGGGGCGCUUACCUACUUGGCACUGCCGAGCUUCCGCCAGCAAUGGAGGUGAUUGUCUGCUCUCGGUUUCGUGGCGCCAAUGGAGGUGGGUGUGAAGUGAGCACACAAUUGUUCAAUGUUGCUGGAUAGGUUCUUCCUGGUCGUCUUCUUUUGUUGAGGCCUGACGUUACAAUCGCGUUAAGAACCAAUUUGGAACUUCCUAUUUCAAUGCAUAACUUCUGAGACUAACCGGGACACAAAAAAUGUGGAUUGAAGAGAAGGGGGGCCAAAUCGUCGCCCUCUUGGUUCGAUCUGAACGGCGGGUGCGCCGUAUCUCCUAGGCUUUCGCGUCCGUGCGCUUAUAUCCCUGUUCCCGCCAGUCGCAAGGAAGACAGCGAGCUCUCCCCCGCCCUCCUCCACUAGAGACAGCUCACCGGCAGAGGAGGCGAGCGUCUUUGUUUGUUCAGUAUUGUGUUGAGUCCCCAAGGGAACAUGGUGCUGUGUAAACAAUAUUGGGAAGCACAUGGCUGUUGAGAUUUAGGAUUUGUUGGUUUCAGUUUGUUUCAAGUUUUACUCCUGAAUACUUUGAGAUUAGUUUGUCUGCUGAGAACAAUAUAGGGUUAGUAUAAAGUAUGGAGAUACAUGGAGCCAAUGGUGAAAUGUGCAAAGCAUUUUUCACAGGUAAUUUCCCUCGGAAAUCUUGCUUGCCGGCCUCGUCUUUUUCCUUCAGGUUGGUCGUUUGUCGUCUAAGUGGCAAGGAUUGUGGGAAAUAGGAGCUCAGCUGCUAGGCCAUUCUAUUGGUGUACCAAUUCUGGAUUAUUCAUUAUGUUCUCUUUAUUUCUAAUGAUAAACGUCCUUCCAGUAUGACAAUCUUAAAUUUCGCCAUUCUAUUGGUGAUUUUUUGGUAUUUCAUUGCAGGAGACAUCAAAUGUAGAGUCGUCAUAUCUAACUUUUACUUUGACAUGGCUGGGUGUUCGUCUUCUACAUAUCUGGUUUAUGCUCUAUUGUCUACUUACCAACAAGAAGAUAAGUUGAAUGCUUCACCUUGGCAAAGUGCAGCUGUCAACGUUUUGGUUCUUCUGGAUCUUAAUUUGUUAAAUGGUUCUGUUGUGAUAUACUAUACUUAUUCAGACAGGGGGCACUAAUUUAUCUUCCAGCAGGUUAAUAAAAAAUUAUUUAGAAGGUCUCUUAUCUGAUUUCCAAAUUAGAUCCUUGCAACUAAACUGUUUAAUUUGCUUGUCAUCUCUUUGUUUACCGCAUCAAACCUUGAAGUCAUCUUAUUCUUAUGGCGUUUCUAGGCCAUGUUGUACUUCUGACCUAUUGCAUUACACAUGAUUCGGUGGUUGAUCUUAGUUGACCAUGAAAAACUGUAGAGCAUGCACAGUAUUUUCUAACCAGGAACUUUUCCCAACUUGAGUAUUGAAACUUGAACUAAGAUUUUGUUCAUAAAUUGGAAAUAAGCAGGAAUUAACCAAUCUUGUUUGUAAUUACCACUGUAUAAAAUAAUGUAAAAAUCUACAUGCAGUCUAACACAAUUGCCUGUAAGCAAUGGAGCCAAAUAAAUUCAUUUUCCCAGCACCAAGAUGCUCAUGUCAGCUUCUAAGCUUGAUCUAUUUUAUGUAUGUGCACUGCGUGUAACGGGGUUUUGUUGUUGUAUCAUCUGUGCUGCCUGUCUUCUCACUAAACUAAAUCUAUUGUCAGACAGACACGUUAACAAAUACGACAGCAAGAUUAGUGCGCACAAGCCCGCCUCAAGAGGCGCCACCGGGUGGCGCCCCAACCACUAGUUUGUACAAAGGAUGGAAGGUUCUGACCCUAUCGGAUAGCCAGAUGAAGUUCAUGACCAAGUCGUUUGUCUAUGAAACUGGUAACCAAGCAGGAGAACAUGGCGGUCCUGUCGUACUGUAUGAUGGACGAAGCAGUAGAGGAGUCGAGCAUCGUGCUAGCUGGACUAAUCAUUCCAUUGCACGGGGAUGGUAAGCAAAAAGUUGUUUUUUGCUUUCCUGUAAUAUUUAUCUAGGGAUCUAUGCAAAGACCGAUGACCGUAUCGAGUUUGUUGAUGAAGUUUGGCUCAUAGCCUAACUGAGUCGGCAUGCGUAUGAAUCAGUGUCGAGCUGAAAAUGAAAUAGAGGUUCAGAUUGUGUUGCUCUUUUAUUUCGAGAAGAAUAAAAAUGGUAUCCCGGGUGCCUUGACGA